GGGAUUGUAGCUCAGUGGUAGAGCACUUGCCUAGCAUGUGUGAAGUGCUGGGUUCGAUCCUCAGCACCA
rnacentral:tRNA from 1 species